CCGGUGCUGUCGCCGCUGUUGAUGAAUCCUCCUUGGAGAUUUUGGCCAGUAUGUUUCUGCCUCUGUGACCCUCUGCCUUGCAGCAUCCCGCAUCGGACCAGGACCCUCAGUGCUCCCCACUCGACCUGCCCUCCAGGCUUCACCAAUACGGUUAAACCCCUCUGUAGUUGGCCGCCGUGACGCACUGGGUUGAAGCUGCUCUCCCCCAACAUCUUCUUGCAUGUUCCGGUUUUCCACCGUCUCAGGAUUGGGAACGUUGAUUGUCCACUGUCUCAUGAGAACAUUCCCCACUGCCAUCGCUGCCAGUUGGUGAGCUACUGUGUUGCCUUCCCUUGGAGUCCAGGUAGCUCCCACCGCUGGCGCCUCUUCCAGCAAUUGUAGGAUGUCUCUGAGGAUUGCAUCCACUUCCGCUAUAGGCGUUCUAGCCUUAACGGCUUGAACCAGAGUGAUUAUCUUACCCUACCAGUUCCUAACAAUGACUGCUGAGGCUGCCUUGCCUGUAUCCCUUUGGAAAGCUGCGUCGGUAUUGACCUUCAACCUAUCUUGUGGUGGUGGUCUCCAAGUAAUUCUCUUCCUAUCACCAAUCUUGCCUCUACUUAAAUUGUGAUCUGUGCUGCUUCCCCUUGUUGUGAUGUGAAAUUCUGUUGCUAGAUAUUCUGCAUUGAUUAUUACUUGUUCUGGAUUGAUAUUUGUAUGCUGGAAUAUGUAUUGGUUCCUUGCUUUCCAUAUAUACCAACAUACACACCCUAGAUUACAUAAAAUUCUUUCCUGAUCCUUCCCCGUCCCACUUUUUAUUUUCUGAACUGUAUCCAUUAUCCAUUUUCCAAACUAUGCCACAUUAUAGACUGUAGGUGCUAUUUGAAUGCUCGAUCCGAACCAAACUGCUCUCGUCCACGGACAUAAAAGUAAAGCAUGUUCUACAGUUUCAUUCUCUUCCUGGCAUAUGUUACAUGAAGGCUUAACUGCACAUUUACGCUUAAAUAAA